GACGAACGCUGGCGGCGUGCCUAAUACAUGCAAGUCGAACGAGUGGCGGACGGGUGAGUAAUGUAUGGGGAUCUGCCUGAUGGAGGGGGAUAACUACUGGAAACGGUAGCUAAUACCGCAUACCAUCAGAUGAACCUAUAUGGGAUUAGCUUGUAGGAACGGUAAAGGCUUACCUAGGGGACGAUCCCUAGCUGGUCUGAGAGGAGGUUCAGCCACACUGUAACUGAGAUACGGCCCAGACUCCGACGGGAGGCAGCAGGGGGGAAUAUUGCACAAUGGGCGCAAGCCUGAUGCCGCCAUGCCGCGUGUAUGAAGAAGGCCUUCGGGUUGUAAAGUACUUUAAGUCGGGAGGCGUUACCGACAGAAGAAGCACCGGCUAACUCCGUGCCAGCAGCCGCGGUAAUUC
rnacentral:rRNA from 1 species